GGCUCAGUGGUCUAGUAGUAUGAUUCCUGCUUCGGGUUGCCCCGUCAGCGAUUUGAUUGAUUUAAGAGUGCAGGAGGCCCCGGGUUCAAUUCCCGGCUGAGCCC